CCCGAUUUAAAUGGUAUAGAGUCACUGCAAGAUGUAACAUUGGGAAGGUGAUGGACUGAUCCUCAGGGCUUACAGUUUUCGCCAUGAUAUCCAAACUUAUCCUCAACAACCGCUCGGCCUCAACAAAAUUCUUGGACUGUGAAUAAGAGGUAGCAAGAUUUAGAAGGUGGGUAACUGAGCUGGGAUGAUCUUUUCCUUUGGAUCUUUCAGAGAUCAACAAGCAUUCCUCUAGCAACUCUCGGCCUUCUUUUCCUCUCCCUACAACAUGAAGUAAUUCUGCCAAAUCAAUCCUCAUCUUCUCCAUGAUACUGUCAUCCAGAGCUAUAUAAUUUGUGUCCUUGAUGAGCUGAAGACCCCUGAAGACCCUUUCCAUACAAGUCAAUAGCUUCUUCGACAUUCCCUGUUGAGCACUUCACAUGGGCUAGGGAACACAAGGCCACGCCAACUCUUCCAUCA
rnacentral:misc_RNA from 1 species